rnacentral:rRNA from 1 species
GACGAACGCUGGCGGCGUGCUUAACACAUGCAAGUCGAACGGAAAGGCCCUGCUUUUGUGGGGUGCUCGAGUGGCGAACGGGUGAGUAACACGUGAGUAACCUGCCCUUGACUUUGGGAUAACUUCAGGAAACUGGGGCUAAUACCGGAUAGGAGCUCCUACUGCAUGGUGGGGGUUGGAAAGUUUCGGCGGUUGGGGAUGGUCUCGCGGCUUAUCAGCUUGUUGGUGGGGUAGUGGCUUACCAAGGCUUUGACGGGUAGCCGGCCUGAGAGGGUGACCGGCCACAUUGGGACUGAGAUACGGCCCAGACUCCUACGGGAGGCAGCAGUGGGGAAUAUUGCACAAUGGGCGGAAGCCUGAUGCAGCAACGCCGCGUGCGGGAUGACGGCCUUCGGGUUGUAAACCGCUUUCGCCUGUGACGAAGCGUGAGUGACGGUAAUGGGUAAAGAAGCACCGGCUAACUACGUGCCAGCAGCCGCGGUGAUACGUAGGGUGCGAGCGUUGUCCGGAUUUAUUGGGCGUAAAGGGCUCGUAGGUGGUUGAUCGCGUCGGAAGUGUAAUCUUGGGGCUUAACCCUGAGCGUGCUUUCGAUACGGGUUGACUUGAGGAAGGUAGGGGAGAAUGGAAUUCCUGGUGGAGCGGUGGAAUGCGCAGAUAUCAGGAGGAACACCAGUGGCGAAGGCGGUUCUCUGGGCCUUUCCUGACGCUGAGGAGCGAAAGCGUGGGGAGCGAACAGGCUUAGAUACCCUGGUAGUCCACGCUGUAAACGGUGGGUACUAGGUGUGGGGUCCAUUCCACGGGUUCCGUGCCGUAGCUAACGCUUUAAGUACCCCGCCUGGGGAGUACGGCCGCAAGGCUAAAACUCAAAGGAAUUGACGGGGCCCCGCACAAGCGGCGGAGCAUGCGGAUUAAUUCGAUGCAACGCGUAGAACCUUACCUGGGUUUGACAUGGAUCGGGAGUGCCCAGAGAUGGGUGUGCCUCUUUUGGGGUCGGUUCACAGGUGGUGCAUGGCUGUCGUCAGCUCGUGUCGUGAGAUGUUGGGUUAAGUCCCGCAACGAGCGCAACCCUUGUUCACUGUUGCCAGCACGUUAUGGUGGGGACUCAGUGGAGACCGCCGGGGUCAACUCGGAGGAAGGUGGGGAUGACGCCAAGUCAUCAUGCCCCUUAUGUCCAGGGCUUCACGCAUGCUACAAUGGCUGGUACAGAGAGUGGCGAGCCUGUGAGGGUGAGCGAAUCUCGGAAAGCCGGUCUCAGUUCGGAUUGGGGUCUGCAACUCGACCUCAUGAAGUCGGAGUCGCUAGUAAUCGCAGAUCAGCAACGCUGCGGUGAAUACGUUCCCGGGGCU